UACAGAGGGUGCAAGCGUUGUUCGGAAUUAUUGGGCGUAAAGGGCGCGUAGGCGGCACGGCAAGUCAGGAGUGAAAGCCCUGGGCUCAACCCGGGAACUGCUUUUGAAACUGCCGAGCUAGAGUGCGGAAGGGGCAACUGGAAUUCCCAGUGUAGCGGUGAAAUGCGUAGAUAUUGGGAAGAACACCUGAGGCGAAGGCGGGUUGCUGGGCCGACACUGACGCUGAUGCGCGAAAGCCGGGGGAGCGAACGGG
rnacentral:rRNA from 1 species